GAUGAACGCUGGCGGCGUGCCUAAUACAUGCAAGUCGAGCGAACAGACGAGGAGCUUGCUCCUCUGACGUUAGCGGGGGACGGGUGAGUAACAAGUGGAUAACCUACCUAUAAGACUGGGAUAACUUCGGGAAAACGGAGCUAAUACUGGAUAAUAUAUUGAACCGCAUGGUUCAAUAGUGAAAGACGGUUUUGCUGUCACUUAUAGAUGGAUCCGUGCCGCAUUAGCUAGUUGGUAAGGUAACGGCUUACCAAGGCAACGAUGCGUAGCCGACCUGAGAGGGUGAUCAGCCACACUGGAACUGAGACACGGUCCAGACUCCUACGGGAGGCAGCAGUAGGGAAUCUUCCGCAAUGGGCGCAAGCCUGACGGAGCAACGCCGCGUGAGUGAUGAAGGUCUUCGGAUCGUAAAACUCUUUUAUUAGGGAAGAACAAAUGUGUAAGUAACUAUGCACGUCUUGACGGUACCUAAACAGAAAGCCACGGCUAACUACGUG
rnacentral:rRNA from 1 species